AAAUUCAAGUUUUGAGUAAAAUUAACAUGUCAAAUUUGUUUGGAAGUUAUGAAUUGGAUGAAAGGAGAAAAAUGAAAAGUUAGGGUAAAAGUUGCCAAGUGACAAAUUUGGGUUGGAUAUAAAUGUGAGUAGACAAGUUUUUACUCAAAUUUAAGUUUGUGUGAUGAUUUGAGUUAGCGUUGUAGAUGCCCAAAUUUUAGCAUAUUGUUAAUGGAUGCUUAGAGUUCAAAUUGUUCAAAUUUUAUCAUUUUGUGUCAAAUGCUAAAGACACUAAAGCAAGUGGUAUGAUUAUGCUUACCUGUAUCAUCCUGUUCCGAAGGGUCCGAGUAGAAUACCUGAAUGAGAUGAGGAAAAUGGGGAGCCAUGAUAAUUUCCUAAUGCUCC
rnacentral:lncRNA from 1 species